rnacentral:rRNA from 1 species
UACAGAGGGGGCAAGCGUUGUUCGGAAUUACUGGGCGUAAAGGGCGCGUAGGCGGCCUGUUAAGUCGAACGUGAAAUCCCCGGGCUCAACCCGGGAACUGCGUCCGAUACUGGCAGGCUGAAUCCGGGAGAGGGAUGCGGAAUUCCAGGUGUAGCGGUGAAAUGGCGUAGGAUAUCAGGAGGAACACCGGUGGCGAAGGCGGUUCUCUGGGCCUGUACUGGACGCUGGACGGAGC